UACGGAAGGGGCUAGCGUUGCUCGGAAUUACUGGGCGUAAAGCGCACGUAGGCGGCUUUCUAAGUCGGGGGUGAAAUCCUGGAGCUCAACUCCAGAACUGCCUUCGAUACUGGAAAGCUCGAGUCCGGGAGAGGUGAGUGGAACUGCGAGUGUAGAGGUGAAAUUCGUAGAUAUUCGCAAGAACACCAGUGGCGAAGGCGGCUCUCUGGGACGGUACUGACGCUGAGACGCGAAAGCGUGGGGAGCGAACAGG
rnacentral:rRNA from 1 species